AGAGAGAGAGUGAGAGAGACACUUGCCUUAUAUGUUUUUCAAUUACAUGAGAGUGGACAAGCCUGAAGGACACAAACAGGGAACAACAAGAGGUCUAGCUGGCAAAAGGGUGCUAAUUGGAAUGAAAAGAGGCUGAUUGCUGACAGUAAUCAAUAAAGUAGGAGAAAUACGUUUGUAAACGCAUGACUGUGUAUGGUAUGGGAAUACCCUGUGAAGUCAGCACUGCCUGUGAAUUUCAAUGUCCUUCUAAAGAGGAUUUCAGACAGGCUGCUAGGCUGCCUCGCGUCUGUGGAAUACAUUGAAGUGAAGAACUGCUAAGCCGGAAUGGAAAUCAGGCUCUGCCUUCCAGAACAUGCAGUCAGAUCAGCCCGUGACAUCUAACAUUGGGGAGAACGCCUGCCUAAAACUUACUCCCAUUUCAAUGCUCUGAGGACGCACCGGUCAAAAUGUCGGGCAUUAAACUGCAUGCUGUGCUUUGUGCGAAAUGGAUUUACAGGAACAGAACUUGAAGAGCCGAAUAAAUAAUUGUGACAGCAGGGAAUGGACCAAGUUUUCUGUUGGAAAGAGCAAGGUACCUGUGUGACACAGU